UUGUUUGGAAUUAAACUUCUAGCAAUCAUUUACCUUUAUGGUUCUCUUAACUUCAGGUCACACUGUUGUUUAGUCAAUGUGAGAAUCUUUCAGAUGUUCUGCACUUUGCAAAAGGAUAUUCACAGCCAAUGUGUGCGGCAGUGAAGGACACUUGUUGAUUCCUUAUUUAUUGUCUGCUGUUCCAGGGACCGGGGACUAGAGGUGAAUAAAGCCUUGUUUGGGCUGUCUAGGAUGUUGUGAUCGACACAGGAAACAGACAUGAAAGCCAAAUUGGCGCAGUGGGUGAAGUAUUGUAAUACUGGUCUCUGUUUAUGAUAUAUGGAAGAAGUUUCCUAGUAGCAGGGUGGGUGAGAGAGUCCAUCAUCAUUGCAGAUUGGUGCCUCUGUGGACAUGCAGGUAUAUUAGGCCAGAGGUGGGGAGUGGGAGAGAGAGGGAGAGAGAGAGCACGACAAAGAGAGAGAGAGAGAGUGAGCAAGAGAGAGGGAGGGAGAGAGACAGAGAGAGAGAGAGAGAGAGAGAGAGAGUGAGCAAGAGAGAGGGAGGGAGAGAGACAGAGAGAGAGAGAGAGAGAGAGGUUUUGAGAGCAUUGAUAUGGGGUCUACAUAUUCCCCCCGGCCCCCAUUCCCUAUUAUCAUAGAAGCAUGCUGCCCUCCAAGGCUUUUGAAUUUGCCACCGUGAAGAGCAUGCAUGGAAUCUUCGGCUGUGGCCUUGCAUUGCCCCCUGUCUUCGCAGCGGAGCUUCUUUAUCUGACCCGUGCAUGUGCCUCUGAUGAGCAGCCCUUCAUCACAGCUCUGCGGCCUCCUCCUAGGCCCCCGCCUUCAGCUCUCCAGUUCAUUUCCCGCCUUGUUCCCAUUGCCACCUGCGGGCUUGGAGGGCCACCUGACAUUCUGUCCUUUGGGUCCCCUGUGACUCCAGAGCUCCUUCCCUUCUGGGGCGCCCACAUCUGCGACACGCUUGUUUGCCCAGUGCAUUUUCUACACUUAGAGUUCCUCUCGUGCUCUCAUAUUUCCAUUUAAAGCCCUCUCGAGAGGUCUGUCUCCUGCCAGCAGCAUUCCUUCUAGUUUACUAGAACUCCAUUUCUCAUCCUGCCAGGAAUCCAGCCGUGGAGUGAGCUUCAGCAAGCCUCUCUGCAGUCUCUUGUCUGCUCCAAAACUGUGGCCUCUGGUUGUGAGAAAUGGGCAUCCUGAGUCAGUGAGAGCAGUAGUUAGCUUGCAGCAGCUUCCCCUCUCCCCCUGAGUGAGCCUUUCUUCCUCUUCCUCCUCUUUCAUUCAGCCUCAUCCUGCCUUGGGUCCAUUUGACAGAUAAUGGCACCUUGAGGCCUUGUCUUUUGCAUGGCAUCUGUGCCUGACUGGUCAGAAAUUACUUGUGAAGCAACAUAGGGGGUUGUUGGUUGGGUCCACUUUUAGGAUGAAGUCAGAAGGGAUCGUGAGUGAUGCUUGGCCAAUAAGAAUGUAUUGAUUUGAUUUACUAAUUAAUUUCAUUUCCAGACACCAAUAUAUGCAUAGCCUUGUUUGAAGAAAAUUAAGGAGAACCAUUUUGUAAAUGGCAAUGAGUGUAAGACACUUAACUAUCUUCCUGCUCUCCCUGGCGUGGGCUUCCGCGCUCCCUGACUCUGCUUUUAUUUAAGGUGUCUGGGAAGGCAUUUGUCCUUCGGCUUCCCAGCUGGCUUCUUGCCUUCUCACUCACUGCCUCCCGUAGCCUGUGGGCAGAAUCCCUCACCGUGCCCACCUUGCCCUGCUCUCGUCUGACCUCACCUCUGUUUCCAGGAUUUGCUAUGGCUGUCCCCUGCCAGUCAUGCUCUGUGCUUGCUACUCUGAGUGUGUCCCUGGUCCCACUCUCUUGCAGCCUCUGUGUCUUAGCACAUGCUGCCCUGAUGGCCCAAGGGCCCUUCCCCUUUGUUUCUGUCUGGGGAAUGUUCUGUCUCCUCUUUCUUGAACCUCCUUAUAUUCCCUCAAGAAGACUUAAGGCAAAAACAAACCUGAACUUACUAUGUGUGGUAUUUUUGUGUUAUAAGUGUAGGACCUAGUCAUAGUAACACAUUUCAAAAAUAUGGAACCGUAUAAAGAAAAUGAGCAUCACUCAUAAAUCACUAUUUAGACACAAGCAUUGUUUACGUUUCUAAUAUUCUUUCUUUAGUGGUGCUUUUCAUGAUUUUAUGUGCAUUUGCAUUUUACUGACUAAAUAUUACUAUAUAAACAUUUUCAUAUCUUGCCACUUCACCUAACAAUACAGCACAAGCAGCUUCUCAUGGCAUUAAGAAUUGUUU